UGUUCGCAUCAACAGUUGUUGUUGUUGAUUCGUGAGGAGCACGCAAAGGACGGUUUUUUUUUGAGUUUUAAGCAUAAUUUUCUGCUAAAUUUAUUGUUAUUUUUUUUUUAAGUAAUAUAGUUAGUCGGUAGAAAUUGCAAUUCUACAUCGACAAGUGAUGGUUGUCUCGACCAAAAUAGGUAAAAAAUGCAACAGUUUUGGAUGCGAAAAUCGCUCCGGUGUGGGGUUAGUUUCUUCCCGGUUGCCUGCCGUGAGAACAAAGUCUACCACCGGUGAACAAAACUUAUGCCCCGGUCAGGUGAAAGACACGAGCGGAUUUGCAGCCAGCAAUUUGUGGCCAACGAUUUCAUCGAAAAUACCAGAUAGAAACUACAUAACGUUGCAGUUCCAACGGUAAAGCUGCAAGACGGGAAAAUACUGCGUGGGACAGAAUGUUUGUCCCCAAAUGCAAGCCAUACAAAGCAAAGCGGGGUCUCCACCACUUCCCUACGCUCAAAUCCGUCCGUAUGAAGGACAAAGGCGUUGAGGAUGGAUGAAGCUGAAGCCCAAAAGCUACUGCGGUUCUGUACAGGAAGAUAACUAGGUUGGUUAAGAUUCCGCGGCGGUCGUUGAUACACCUGAUUCACCCACACACUUGAAGGACUACAAUUACACCAAAUAUGCAUGCAAACCACGGAGUAACCGAUUAUGUUUUGUGGAAGGAUGUCAAUAAAAAAAAACGGAAGGCAACAUAAAAUUUCACAAGACCUGCGGUAUAAAGUGGAUUCGGAUUUUGAAAUGCUCCAAGUUGCCAACACGAAAUUCAACAUUUUACAUUUCAGAAAGACCGACUAUCAGAGGUGGACCAAGGAUGAAGCGGAUUGCAAUACCAUCAAUGAGAAUUCCUGACGCAGCCGUUGAUUCGUCAACAAUAACCAAUUCGUUCGAUAAAUCAACAUCAACUAAAGAAAGCCCUGCCCAUAGGAUCACAUCUGAACUUCUGGAUCACCAAAUCACUAACGAAGUCAACAAUCCUUACACGCCAAAUACGGCCUCCUAUUCGUAUGACGACAACCUUAGUAAAUUUAUCGCUGGUCAAAGUGUUGUGAAAAGUGAUUUAGGCGAAUAUCCUUCUAUUAGAUGUGUCUCAAUUGACAAUUUCUGGUAUGCCUCUUGCUAGCAGCUACGCUAAAAAAAUGCCUGGAAUGAAGGAUUAUUUUUUUAUAUUCGAAAUUCUACAUAUCAAGGUUGUAUUCCCGGUAUUCUAGUAGCAUUUCUUCAAUUCUGUUAUCUCAGGAUUUUUUCCAGGAUUGAAUAUUAUGGAGCGGUGGUAGGAAUCUUGAAAAAUACAAAGAUAGUUCGUGGAA